rnacentral:rRNA from 1 species
UAUAACAGAAAAGUUGACAUUAAUUUCGAGCUGCAUGAGAUUUUGGCGAAUGAGGAAAUCUUCUGGCUCCAACAGUCUCAUGAGCGCUGGCUACUCAAAGGGGACCUUAACACUGAUUACUUUCACAAGAUAGCCAGUGGGCGAAAAAGGAAAAACACUAUUCACACAUUGAAAUGUGGAGAUGUGGAGAUUGAGGGCACUGAUAACCUAAUCUCACAUGCCACGGAGUUCUAUAAGAAUUUGUUUGGUCCAGCACCUGGUAACAUAUUUCACAUGGACCCUAGUUCAUGGGAUGAUUCAAAAAAACUUACGCGAGAAGACAAUGAAGAUCUGACUAGGGAGUUUUCUAUGGAGGAGGUGAAGGAGGCUCUGUUUGCAAUGGAUACCAAUAGAGCACCCGGCCCUGAUAAUAUCCCUGCAGAGUUCUACCAACAUUGUUGGGAUAUUGUCAAAGAUGACAUUAUGAGGAUUUUUAGGCACUUCCAUGAUGGGACGCUUGAUGUGCAGCGUCUCAACUACGGAGUGAUCACUCUCCUUCCUAAGGUGUCGGGCGCCGAGCGCAUUCAACAAUUCCGACCCAUUUGCCUUCUCAGAUGUCCGUAUAAACUGAUUACUAAGACAAUGGAUCGGAGAGUUGAGAAGUAUGUUGAUAAGCUGAUUAGCCUUUCGCAGAAUGCAUUUGUGAAGGGUAGGAAUAUUAUGGAUGGAAUCAUGACUCUUCAUGAGCUCCUGAACAACACUUAUGUUAAGAAAAAGAACUAG